UGCCAGCCGCCGCGGUAAUACGGAGUGUGCAAGCGUUACUCGGAAUCACUGGGCAUAAAGAGCACGUAGGCGGGAAGAUGUGUCGGUGGUGAAAGCCCCCAGCUUAACUGGGUGAACUGCCUCCGAAACUGUCUUCCUUGAGGCCGAGAGGGGUGAGUGGAACUUCUGGUGGAGCGGUGAAAUGCGUAGAUAUCAGAAGGAACACCGGUGGCGAAAGCGACUCACUGGCUCGGUUCUGACGCUGAGGUGCGAAAGCGUGGGUAGCAAACAGGAUUAGAUA
rnacentral:rRNA from 1 species